rnacentral:snoRNA from 1 species
UGCACACAUAACCCAAAGUUCAUUAUUUCUGUGUAAUGAUCUUGUCUGAUGUGCACAGAUUAUCAGUAUUUUGUCGCCGUUCAUGGAUUGAUGUAUCUGUGGAUGUGAAUACUGAGAUAUUACAUUU